GUUUGGCUUGGUUAUAUGACCAAUAGUGUGUGAAUGGGUUAUUUGGUUGAUGUUUUUUUUUUUUCUUACUUUAUUUUUGUGUGCAGAGAGUUGAUGUUGCCGCAUUUCGAUACGGUGCAAUAAGAUCAUAUUGAAUGUAACCCUUUGGAUGCUCUACAUAAAAUUACUUUUUUUGGAUGCCAGGAACCAUUUCUACAAUAACACCGUGUAUAGCUGUCUGACAAUUAUACAGCAUCUCACACCCAGUGCUCACAAAGCACUCAUGCCUGCAUCCCCAGCACAUGCUGGGUUGAAAAUUAACCUCUUCCGAUUGAAAAGAAAUGGAACUGCAACCUAGACAGUGUUCUCGGAUUCCAAAGAUGUCCAC